UCAGAUGAUGAAGGGGGUAAAAGAAGGAGAAUGUAAGCACUGUGCAGUAAUCUAUACUAUGAAAACCAUCAGCUACACAAAACAAUGCAUGCUUAUUGAGUGAUUUAUUUUCUAAUGCAGCCCUUCCUCAAAGCUGAAAGAAACUGUGCCUGCAGAUGAGGGGGAGAAGCAUACAAGGGCUAAGAAAAAAGAAAAAAAAGGAGUCCUCCACAAGCCCCUGCUUUCCCCACCUGCUUUUAGAUCAUCACAGCAGGACAUACAUAAAGUUGCUGCCCACACAUCAGCUGCUCUUGAACAGGCCUCUGCCCAGAUCUCUGGCAACAUUCAAAGUCAAUUCGAACGGGAUCAUGCACUCCUGCGUGCUGUGGAGGAGUUGAAGGCCUUGGUGAGGCAGAACAACCUCCUCCUCCAGGCCCUUACUAGGCAAAAAACGACAGCAGCAGCAGCAGCAGCAGACACUCUAUC